rnacentral:tmRNA from 1 species
GGGGGUGACUUGGUUUCGACGGGUUUAGUGAGGGGUUAUUGGCGUGUCGAGGAUGUCUGGAGCCUCGUAAAAAAUCCGGUCAAAACAAUUACUUGGCGAAAAUAAUUACGCCAUGGCUGCCUAAUUUAGGUUCAGCCCGUUGUACCUGAUCUUAUGCCUUCAAGAUUGGGAUAUAGCGCCGUUAAAGAAGGCUCGGCUUUUUGAUGUCUAUAAGAGAAGCUUAAACUAAUAGACUGGUUAUAUCAGUGGCCUGGCUUUCGGCAGUUGUUAUAGCGAGAAACUAUAGAUAGCCUACACACGUAGAUGAUGACUUGACAUUAAAUUCGGACGGGGGUUCGAUUCCCCCCACCUCCA